CUGCUUUCUGCCAGGAUCCCAGGUGCUGGAGUGGUGCUGAGCAGGUGGAGGGGAGAGGUGAGAGAUUCCAGGCAGGGAAGUAACGUGCCUGACAUCCAUGGAACCAGUUCCUCCCAGAGGUGGCACUGCUGACUCUCCGUUCACAGCCACUUACACUACCGUCCCUGCAGAAAUGGGGUGCUACAGAGAAUGUCCUUAGCAAACUUUCAGAGACAAGGCUAUUUUAGAGUGCAAGAGCAAAAACCCAUUCAACCCGGCAAAAAUCACAGAGUCUUAGAAAGAAUCAGGAUCUUACAGAGCUCCAGUCAGGCCUCAUUGGGAACUGGAACCAGCAAUUGGAAAAGCAGCAGGAACCUAGACAGUUAUUGUCCCUCGUGUGGGUGUGUGUAUUUGUCUCCAGGCUACUUUCUCUCUGCUUCCCUUUGCACAUGAAGCUGCAGGAGCAGGAACCUGGUCAGCCCUUUCGGUCAGGUGUCCACCCCUUCUCCCUCCAGGAACGAGCAGGGAGCGGAGCCAGUUGUAGAAACAUGGGAAGAAAGUUUGAGGACGGUGGCUAACUGCCGCCGGGGACCUACGUCAGAGCUUGAACUGACCUCCCCUCAAGGGUUCUCAUAUGGGCACAGAACCUAGAGCUCAUUCAGUGCAACGCCCUCAUGUUCCUGGGUGUCUGUCACCGGUUCUGUGUCUACUGAUGCGCAGGCAUAAAUCUCCAAUUUUUCAACAACUUAUUUACAGAAAGAAUCGCGAAGCCGCUGACCUCAGACUCGCAUCUCUGAGGAACCUGACUUUGGACUUUAGCCUACGUGUUAAACCUCAGGAAAUUUUAUACAUGAGCAAGGAACACAGGACCCAAGACAAGCAGACUGAUCGUCAAGCCGCUGUCUCAAUUUUUUUAAAUGUUCUUGAGAACAUUUGACGUGUUCUUCGAGCCAAAGCAAUAGCUUCUUAUUUGGUGAGCAUGUUUUUUGAGACAAUACGAGGCUCGACUUUAAAAUUUACCCAAAUAAAAGUGUGUAUGCAUGUCUGUUAAUUCCUAAUGUCAUUCUUCUUUCAUAUAUAUUUUUUGCAUAAUUUUCAGCUAUUCUGCACGAAUUAAAACUGGUUAGUUUUUCCUUCUUUUCAUUACUGUUCCAGCCUUCUUAGGAUGAGCUCUAUUACAUAAAAAGGAUUGCGCUUUACUUUUCCUUCUACUCUGGAUCUGUAUCUCUGAAACUGUUCAUGUAGACUUUGGGCCAAUGACUGAUUAUUCCAUAGAGAAGCUGGGUCACAAAAAAUAUUGAUUACAGAUCACAUAGACUUGUGUGACUCAUAGGAGGUGGUGUAAAAGAAAGCUAAGUGGGGAAAAUUCUUGUUUUC
rnacentral:lncRNA from 1 species